rnacentral:rRNA from 1 species
GACGAACCGUGCGAACGUUGUUCGGAAUCACUGGGCUUAAAGGGCGCGUAGGCGGGCCGGCCAGUCCGGGGUGAAAGCCCCCAGCUCAACUGGGGAAGCGCCUUGGAUACUGCCGGGCCUCGAGGGGGGUAGGGGCGCGCGGAACUUCCGGUGGAGCGGUGAAAUGCGUAGAUAUCGGAAGGAACACCGGUGGCGAAAGCGGCGCGCUGGGCCCCUUCUGACGCUGAGGCGCGAAAGCCAGGGGAGCAAACGGG